GUUACUGCCACCCUCUCCCAGGUCUAGAGAGGGGUACCCACGGUGGAGGGAGGUGGGAGGCCGAGACGGCCCCGGGGGUCGGCGGAGACCCAGCGGGAGCAGGGGGAAAUCGGAAGAGCUGGGGGCAUGGAGCGGGCGAGUUUGGAGCGGAAUGAGCCGGGAGCCCUACGUUGUGGAAGGAAGACAACAGUAUAGGACCAUCAGCAGGACCGGACAGAGAGGGGCACGUAAGCAGUAAUUACUGGAUGGCAUAGUAAUUCUACUAAAAAUUAAAAUGCCACUUAUUGGAAUGGUGUGUGAACACUCUAAAGCAACCCGGGAAGAAGACAGCAGUCAAGAAGACCAAGGAAGGAAAUGGAGGAGGGAUGACCCCACCAUUACAGGCAGGGAAGGACUGACCAAAGAGACAGAAAUGUAGUCUAGGAAAUGUGUCAUCUUAGAAAGGAACGGGAAGGGGCUGGAGAGGUGGCUCAGAAGUAAAGAGCAGUGGAUGCUCUUUCAGGGGACCUGAGUUGGCCUCCUAAUGUCUUCAGGUACCUCCUAACUGCAUGUAACUCCAGCUCCGGGAGAUUCUGGAUUCUUCUGGUCUCCACGGCACUGCGUUCACGCGCACGCGCGCGCACACACACACACACACACACACAAAUUAAUCUUAGAAAAGCAUAGGAAGCCUGAUUUUUUG
ensembl:processed_transcript Gm20544 predicted gene 20544